rnacentral:rRNA from 1 species
ACUCCUACGGGAGGCAGCAGUGGGGAAUAUUGCACAAUGGGCGCAAGCCUGAUGCAGCCAUGCCGCGUGUAUGAAGAAGGCCUUCGGGUUGUAAAGUACUUUCAGUCAGUGAAGGAAUGGUGGAUAAUGUUAAUAGGCAUAUUCAUUUGACGUUAGCAUGACAGAAGAAGCGACCGGCUAACUCCGUGCCAGCAGCCGCGGUAAUACGGAGGGUGCGAGCGUUAAUCGGAAUUACUGGGCGUAAAGCGCAUGCAGGUGGC